rnacentral:rRNA from 1 species
CCUACGGGAUGCAGCAGUGGGGAAUCUUGGACAAUGGGCGAAAGCCCGAUCCAGCAAUAUCGCGUGAGUGAAGAGGGGCAAUGCCGCUUGUAAAGCUCUUUCGUCGAGUGCGCGAUCAUGACAGGACUCGAGGAAGAAGCCCCGUCUAACUCCGUGCCAGCAGCCGCGGUAAGACGGGGGGGGCAAGUGUUCUUCGGAAUGACUGGGCGUAUAGGGCACGUAGGCGGUGAAUCGGGUUGAAAGUGAAAGUCGCCAAAAACUGGCGGAAGACUCUCGAAACCAAUUCACUUGAGUGAGACAGAGGAGAGUGGAAUUUCGUGUGUAGGGGUGAAAUCCGGAGAUCUACGAAAGAACGCCAAAAGCGAAGGCAGCUCUCUGGGUCCCUACCGACGCUGGAGUACGAAAGCAUGGGGAGCGAACGGGAUUAGAUACC